AUAGCAGCAUUUUAAUCAUCUCUUCCAUUAAACCAAGAUUACACAAAAGCGUUUGAGGACACUGAGGAAUGGCACUUCUAAUUUUGCUUCAGAAACCAGUACUCAAAAUGUCUGGUUUGGAGGAGCUGGGCUGCUUGGAUCAGAGGUUCCAUGGUCUGAACUACUCCACUCUGGUGAAGGUUUCUUCCCAAAGCCACUCCUCAAGCUGACUUAUAUUGUACCUGAGUUGCAUGCCUGUGCUCCAAGAGCAGACGUCCUUCCGCAGGAGCAGGUCAUUAAGAGUCACUGCGUUGAUCAUGUAGAAGAGCUGUUUGAAUACCUGCAGGAUGAUCUCAGGGUCCAAGCCCUGGUCACACAUGACUGUAUGAAAGGCAUUCAUCUGGCGGAUGAUAGCUUCCAGGCGGUAUGAGUUAUCCCCAUCUGCCAUGCUGGAGGAGUGCUUCUGGGAGCAGUGGGCUUCACACCAGAUAG
rnacentral:lncRNA from 1 species